rnacentral:rRNA from 1 species
AGGGUGUAUGGGGGAUGCCUUGGAUCUUGUAGGCGAUGAAGGACGUGUUAAGCUGCGAUAAGCUACGGGGAGAUGCACAAAAUUGUUAAUCCGUAGAUUUCCGAAUGGGGCAACCCAAUAGUUUGAAGAACUAUUACCACGCUAAUGCGUAGGAGCAAACCCGGAGAACUGAAACAUCUAAGUACCCGGAGGAAAAGAAAACAAAAGUGAUUCCGUAAGUAGUGGCGAGCGAACGCGGAGAAGCCCAAACCAGAGUUGUUACGGCAAUACUGGGGUUGUAGGACGGUUUUUUAGAAUAAGAAGGAAUUUGAAUGACUUGGGAAAGUCAGCCAUAGAAGGUGAUAGCCCUGUAAGAGUAAAAUUUUUAGACGUAACCGUAUCCUGAGUAGGGGGGGACUGGAGAAAUCCCCUUUGAAACUGCCGGCACCAUCCGGUAAGGCUAAAUACUAACAAGAUACCGAUAGUGAACGAGUACUGUGAAGGAAAGGUGAAAAGUACCCCGAGCAGGGGGGUGAAAAGACCCUGAAACCAUACACUUACAAGCGGUCGGAGCAGAGCGAUUCUGUGACGGCGUGCCUUUUGCAUAAUGACCCUACGAGUUACUCUUCCUGGCAAGAUUAAGGUUUAUAGAACUGGAGUCGGAGCGAAAGCGAGUCUGAAUAGGGCGUUUAGUCAGGGGGAGUAGACGCGAAACCUUGUGAUCUACCCAUGGCCAGGUUGAAGGUGUGGUAACACACACUGGAGGACCGAACGAGUUUACGUUGAAAAGUAUUUCGAUGAGCUGUGGGUAGGGGUGAAAGGCUAAUCAAACUGGGAAAUAGCUCGUACUCCCCGAAAUGUUUUUAGGAACAGCGUCGUGGUUGAGUUUCAUGCAGGUAAAGCUACCAAUAGGACUAGGGGGAGUCACAUCCUACCAAAUCCUGAUGAACUCUGAAUGGCAUGAAAUAUACACGGCAGUGAGGGCAGGGGUGCUAAGGUCACUGUCCGAGAGGGAAAGAACCCAGACCAACAGCUAAGGUCCCCAAAUCUAUACUAAGUUGAACAAAGGAGGUCUGAUUGCAGAGACAGCCAGGAUGUUAGCUUGGAAGCAGCUAUUCAUUUAAAGAGUGCGUAACAGCUCACUGGUCGAGCGAGGCGGGCAUCGAUAAUAAACGGGCAUCAAGUAUAGUACCGAAGCUUUGGAUUAUGUAUUAUAUACAUACUGGUAGGGGAGCAUUCUGACAUCAAUGAAGGUAAAUCGACAAGGUUUAUUGGAGAGGUCAGAAAAGCAAAUGUAGGGAUGAGUAACGAUAAUGCGGGCGAGAAACCCGCACGCCGAAAAGUCAAGGUUUCCUCAGCUAUGCUAAUCAACUGAGGGUUAGUCGGGGGCUAAGGGUUUAGCGACAGCGAAGACUUAAUGCACAUCAGGUUAAUAUUCCUGAACUUACUAUUAGGGAAACACAAUGACGGAGAUUCGUGGUUUGCAGGUACUGACGGAAUAGUGCCUUUGAGAAGAAGCCGCAAGGCAGAAACGAGUGAGCGAAGAGACUUCCAAGAAAAGUUGUGAAUCUAUACUUAAUAGUAACCCGUACCGUAAACCGACACAGGUGACUGGGAAGAAUAUUCUAAGGCGCUCGAGUGAAUCACGGCUAAGGAACUCGGCAAAUUAACCCUGUAACUUCGGGAUAAAGGGAGCCUACUCAGCGAUGAGAGGCCGCAGAGAAUUGGUCCAGGCGACUGUUUAACAAAAACACAUGGCUUUGCAAAAACGAAAGUUGACGUAUAAGGCCUGACACCUGCCCGGUGCUGGAAGGUUAAGAGGGGAUGUUAGCGCAAGCGACGCAUUGAAUCGAAGCCCCAGUAAACGGCGGCCGUAACUAUAACGGUCCUAAGGUAGCGAAAUUCCUUGUCGGGUAAGUUCCGACCUGCACGAAUGGUGUAACGAUCUGGACACUGUCUCAGCCGUGAGCUCGGUGAAAUUGUAGUAACGGUGAAGAUGCCGUUUACCCGCAACGGGACGGAAAGACCCCAUGAACCUUUACUAUAGCUUAGCAUUGAGUUCUGGUACUGGAUGUGUAGGAUAGGUGGGAGACUAUGAGAUGGUGUCGCUAGGCAUUAUGGAGUCAACGUUGAAAUACCACCCUUCUUGUACUGGAAUUCUAACCUAAAUAGGGACAUUGCUUGGUGGGUAGUUUGACUGGGGUGGUCGCCUCCAAAAGAGUAACGGAGGCUUUCAAAGGUACCCUCAGCACGCUUGGUAACCGUGCGUAGAGUGCAAUAGCAAAAGGGUGCUUGACUGUGAGACAAACAAGUCGAUCAGGUACGAAAGUAGGAUAUAGUGAUCCGGUGGUUUAGUAUGGAACAGCCAUCGCUCAAAGGAUAAAAGGUACUCUGGGGAUAACAGGCUGAUCUCCCCCAAGAGCUCACAUCGACGGGGAGGUUUGGCACCUCGAUGUCGGCUCGUCGCAUCCUGGGGCUGUAGUCGGUCCCAAGGGUUGGGCUGUUCGCCCAUUAAAGCGGCACGCGAGCUGGGUUCAGAACGUCGUGAGACAGUUCGGUCCCUAUCCGUCGCGGGCGUUGGAAAUUUGAGAGGAGCUGUCCUUAGUACGAGAGGACCGGGAUGGACUUACCGCUGGUGUACCAGUUGUUCUGCCAAGGGCAUUGCUGGGUAGCUAUGUAGGGAAGGGAUAAACGCUGAAAGCAUCUAAGUGUGAAGCCCACCUCAAGAUGAGAUUUCCCAUUUCU